CGACCGGCGCACGGGUGAGUAACGCGUAUGUAAUCUACCUGUAACAGAGGGAUAACCCGGAGAAAUCCGGACUAAUACCUCAUAGCACAUAUUAUUCGCAUGAAUUUUAUGUUAAAGAGACUCGGUUACAGAUGAACAUGCGUUCCGUUAGCUAGUUGGCGGGGUUACGGCCCACCAAGGCAACGAUGGAUAGGGGUUCUGAGAGGAAGGUCCCCCACACUGGUACUGAGACACGGACCAG
rnacentral:rRNA from 1 species